rnacentral:tmRNA from 1 species
GGGGCUGUACCGGUUUCGACGGGGGUGUGGCGGCAAAAAUAGCGGGCGGAGGCGUCGCCCUCCUUAAAACGGCAUUCUUUAUAAAUUAAAGAACAAUAACGAAGCUUUACCGGUAGCCGCUUAAGGCUGCCCGUCCCCGCCGGAAGGUCCACGAGCCGGAUGGGGGCGUGAUUGAGUGGAGAACGUGUGUGCAUUAAGCUUUGCGUGUACCAUGAACAAUGAAGCUACCAAGCUAUGCUGCGUGACGGCUUGCGCCAUAGUAAGGGAAAGGGGCCUCGGCCCGAAAUAACCGUCUGCGCCCGGAGAAGUUUUUGUCAAAGUGCUUUCGGACGGGGGUUCAACUCCCCCCAGCUCCACCA